CAGCCGCCGCGGUAAUACGUAGGUGGCGAGCGUUGUCCGGAUUUAUUGGGCGUAAAGGGAGUGUAGGCGGUCUUUUAAGUCUGAUGUGAAAGCCCACGGCUCAACCGUGGAGGGUCAUUGGAAACUGGGAGACUUGAGUGCAGAAGAGGAGAGCGGAAUUCCAUGUGUAGCGGUGAAAUGCGUAGAUAUAUGGAGGAACACCAGUGGCGAAGGCGGCUCUCUGGUCUGUAACUGACGCUGAGGCUCGAAAGCGUGGGGAGCAAACAGGAUUAGAUACCCCCGUAGUCCCUGUCUCUUAUAC
rnacentral:rRNA from 1 species